rnacentral:rRNA from 1 species
CACGUAAGCAACAUGUCCAAGGGUGGGGGAUAGCCGGCCCAACGGCCGGGUAAUACCGCAUGCAGUCACCUGCGGCAUCAAAGGUGACGAAAGCCGGGGCAACCUGGCGCCCAUGGAGUGGCUUGCGGCCUAUCAGCUAGUUGGUGCGGGUAACGGCCCACCAAGGCUACGACGGGUAGCUGGUCUGAGAGGACGAUCAGCCACACUGGAACUGAGACACGGUCCAG